rnacentral:rRNA from 1 species
GUCGUCAGCUCGUGUCGUGAGAUGUUGGGUUAAGUCCCGCAACGAGCGCAACCCCUAUUGUUAGUUGCCAUCAUCCAGUUGGGCACUCUAGCGAGACUGCCGGUAAUAAACCGGAGGAAGGUGGGGAUGACGUCAAAUCAUCAUGCCCCUUAUGACCUGGGCUACACACGUGCUACAAUGGUUGGUACAACGAGUUGCGAGUCGGUGACGGCGAGCUAAUCUCUUAAAGCCAAUCUCAGUUCGGAUUGUAGGCUGCAACUCGCCUACAUGAAGUCGGAAUCGCUAGUAAUCGCGGAUCAGCACGCCGCGGUGAAUACGUUCCCGGGCCUU